CAUCUGCCGCGGCUGUGCGGCCCCGUCCCGCCGCGGCCAGGCCGGCGGUGUAACAGCCCCGCUGCUUGUCUCUGCGGCAUCGGGGCGCCCCCGGGACGAGGCCCUGGCGGCGGGCGGGCAGGGCGGGCUCUGAGCGGGAUGCCAGAGGAGUCUUGGACCCUCAGUGUCGCAUCCCCAGGCUGUGCAGAAGCUGCGUACGCCGGCACCGUGGGGUAAGGCUGCUGGAUCCAGCCUCACGUAGCCCUCACCGGGCGCAGGAGCCGCCAUCCUAAUAGUGGAGGUGGGUGCGGGCCUUGUUUCCACACGGACAGAAACCCGCCGUAUUCUGCAAGAGCUUGUGCCCCCGUGGUGCUCCUGGCAGCGUGUAUAGUGGAGCUCCAAGAAAAAUGCUAAAAGGCAGGGUAAGGAGGUUUCCUGCUACUUGUUUCUUCCAGCCAACGUUUCUGUAUUUCAGAGAAGGAAUGUGUAACAAAAGGAGCUACCAACAGUGUAAGAAAAAAUAUCUUUGUUAUUAUGAAUACAUCAUAAAAUCCCCAUCAUUUUA